GAUGAACGCUGGCGGCGUGCCUAAUACAUGCAAGUCGAGCGAACGGACGAGAAGCUUGCUUCUCUGAUGUUAGCGGCGGACGGGUGAGUAACACGUGGAUAACCUACCUAUAAGACUGGGAUAACUUCGGGAAACCGUAGCUAAUACCGGAUAAUAUUUUGAACCGCAUGGUUCAAAAGUGAAAGACGGUCUUGCUGUCACUUAUAGAUGGAUCCGCGCUGCAUUAGCUAGUUGGUAGGGUAACGGCUUACCAAGGCAACGAUGCAUAGCCGACCUGAGAGGGUGGUCGACCACACUGGAACUGAGACACGGUCCCGGCUCCUACGGGAGGCAACAGUAGGGAAUCUUCCGCAAUGGGCGGAAGCCUGACGGAGCAACGCCGCGUGAGUGAUGAAGGUCUUCGGAUCGUAAAACUCUGUUAUUAGGGAAGAACAUAUGUGUAAGUAACUGUGCACAUCUUGACGGUACCUAAUCAGAAAGCCACGGCUAACUACGUG
rnacentral:rRNA from 1 species